GUGUCAGCCGCCGCGGUAAUACAGAGGGGGCCAGCGUUAUUCGGAAUUAUUGGGCGUAAAGGGCGCGUAGGCGGCCAUGCGUGUCUUCCGUGAAAUCCCUCGGCUCAACCGAGGACGUGCGGAAGAAACUGCAAGGCUCGAGUCCAGAAGAGGGGGGCGGAAUUCCCAGUGUAGCGGUGAAAUGCGUAGAUAUUGGGAGGAACACCGGUGGCGAAGGCGGCCCCCUGGGCUGGUACUGACGCUGAUGCGCGAAAGCGUGGGUAGCAAACGGGAUUAGAUACCCCCGUAGUCC
rnacentral:rRNA from 1 species